GAGUUUGAUCAUGGCUCAGAGUGAACGCUGGCGGCAGGCCUAAUACAUGCAAGUCGAACGGCAGCACAGCAGAGCUUGCUCUGUGGGUGGCGAGUGGCGGACGGGUGAGGAAUACGUGGGAAUCUGCCCAGUCGUGGGGGAUAACGUAGGGAAACUUACGCUAAUACCGCAUGCGCCCUUCGGGGGAAAGCCGGGGACCUUCGGGCCUGGCGCGAUUGGAUGAGCCCACGUCGGAUUAGCUAGUUGGCGGGGUAAAGGCCCACCAAGGCGACGAUCCGUAGCUGGUCUGAGAGGAUGAUCAGCCACACUGGAACUGAGACACGGUCCAGACUCCUACGGGAGGCAGCAGUAGGGAAUAUUGGACAAUGGGCGCAAGCCUGAUCCAGCCAUGCCGCGUGAGUGAAGAAGGCCCUCGGGUUGUAAAGCUCUUUUGUCCGGAAAGAAAAGCGCCGGGUUAAUACCCUGGUGUCCUGACGGUACCGGAAGAAUAAGCACCGGCUAACUUCGUG
rnacentral:rRNA from 1 species